CAUUCAAAGAGUGCGUAACAGCUCACUAGUCGAGAGGUCCUGCGCCGAAAAUGUCCGGGGCUGAAACACAACACCGAAGCUGCGGAAUUGCGAAUGCAAUUGGUAGAGGAGCAUUCUUAAUGCCGACGAAGCUGUACCGGAAGGAGCAGUGGAGGGAUAAGAAGAGAGAAUGCCGGAAUGAGUAGCGAGAGAGAGGUGGGAAUCCUCUCGGCCGAAUAUCCAAGGUUUCCAGAGUAAAGCUGAUCUGCUCUGGGUAAGUCGGGGCCUAAGGCGAGGACGAGAGUCGUAGCCGAUGGACAACAGGUGGAGAUUCCUGUACUGCGGUAUGACAGAACUGUGGGGACACGUAAGGAAAGCGGAAGCCGGGAAUGGAAAGCCCGGUGCAAGCGGGGUACCAGUCACUUUGGCAAAUCCGGGUGGCAAUGGGAAGCCGUGAUGCGGAGCGAAAUAAAGUAGCGAAGUCCGUGAGCCAUGCGUCAAGAAAAGCCGCUAUCGUUUAUACCGUACCCGUACCGUAAACCGACACAGGUGGAUGAGGAGAGAAUCCUAAGGCCGGCGGAAGAAGCAUUGUCAAGGAACUCGGCAAAAUGGCCCCGUAACUUAGGGAUAAGGGGUGCCUGGGAAACCAGGCCGCAGAGAAUAGGCUCAAGCAACUGUUUAGCAAAAACACAGGUCUAUGCGAAACCGAAAGGUGAGGUAUAUGGGCUGACGCCUGCCCGGUGCUGGAAGGUUAAGAGGAGAGGUUAGCGCAAGCGAAGCUUUGAAUUUAAGCCCCAGUAAACGGCGGCCGUAACUAUAACGGUCCUAAGGUAGCGAAAUUCCUUGUCGGGUAAGUUCCGACCCGCACGAAAGGCGUAAUGAUUUGAGCACUGUCUCGACAAUGCAUCCGGUGAAAUUGAAGUACCAGUGAAGAUGCUGGUUACCCGCGCCAGGACGGAAAGACCCCAUGGAGCUUUACUCCAGUUUGGUACUGGGAUUCGGUACUGCACGUACAGGAUAGGUGGGAGACUAAGAAACUUGAACGCCAGUUUGAGUGGAGUCGCUGUUGGGAUACCACCCCUGCAGUAUUGGAUUUCUAACCAGUCACCGUGAUCCGGUGAUGGGACAAUGCCAGGCGGGGAGUUUGACUGGGGCGGUCGCCUCCGAAAGGGUAUCGGAGGCGCUCAAAGGUUCCCUCAGAAUGGUUGGAAACCAUUCGAAGAGUGCAAAGGCAGAAGGGAGCUUGACUGCGACACCGACGGGUGGAGCAGGUACGAAAGUAGGACUUAGUGAUCCGGUGGUAUAAAGUGGGAUUGCCAUCGCUCAACGGAUAAAAGCUACCCUGGGGAUAACAGGCUUAUCACUCCCAAGAGUUCACAUCGACGGAGUGGUUUGGCACCUCGAUGUCGGCUCAUCGCAUCCUGGGGCUGUAGUAGGUCCCAAGGGUUGGGCUGUUCGCCCAUUAAAGCGGUACGCGAGCUGGGUUCAGAACGUCGUGAGACAGUUCGGUCCCUAU
rnacentral:rRNA from 1 species